CAAUAGCGUAUAUUAAAGUUGUUGCGGUUAAAAAGCUCGUAGUUGGAUUUCUGCUGAGAACGACCGGUCCGCCCUUUGGGUGUGUAUCUGGCUCUUUCUUGGCAUCUUCUUGGUGAACGUUGCUGCACUUGACUGUGUGGAGCGCUACCCAGGACUUUUACUUUGAGGAAAUUAGAGUGUUUCAAGCAGGCAUACGCCUUGAAUACAUUAGCAUGGAAUAAUAAGAUAGGACCUCGGUUCUAUUUUGUUGGUUUCUAGAGCUGAGGUAAUGAUUAAUAGGGAUAGUUGGGGGCAUUCGUAUUUAACUGUCAGAGGUGAAAUUCUUGGAUUUGUUAAAGACGGGCUACUGCGAAAGCAUUUGCCAAGGAUGUUUUCAUUG
rnacentral:rRNA from 1 species